rnacentral:lncRNA from 1 species
UCCCCCAUUUAAACUGUUUAAUAAGGGUUAUACUUUUUAAAUACCCGGUCUGUUGUCAAGAUUAUUGGGUAGAGAUCAUCAGUAUGUUUUAAAUGGUGGCGUGUUGAGUGGGGUCAGGUGUAUAAUCAUGUGGCGUACAAACAAACGUAAACGUGGGCUAGAUCAUAGUCAUAGUAAUAGCAUUACCAUGAGUGAAGAUGUCAGGCAAUUGAAUGCCCUGCUUAAUACACACUGGCCAGAUAAUAACACAGCACACAUAGCUGCACAUGGUGUAGAGCCAACGGGUGAUGAAGCAACACGGAUUCCUGGCAUUGUACAGGGAUGUAUCAAUGACCAGGGUUCAUUUGGUAAUAGUGUAUGCUCUGACGCUGGUAAUAGCCUAGUUAUGAAUAUAGCUAUCAGACAGAUGAAUGCAAUGCUUAAUACACAUUGGCCAAAUAACAAUGCUACCAACAUAGACACACAUAAUACAUAUGCAAGUGGUGAUGAAAGUGCUCUGAACAUUAAUGUUGCACACAGGGUUAUCAAUGAACAGGGUUCAGUUGCUAAUAAUCCAAACUCUGGCGUUGCCGCGAUGAUAAUCAGUAGUGAUGGUAUAACAUAUGGCCAGCCUGUAUUACAUGAUACGGACACCAGCGGGGGUGUUGGUAUUGAUGUGUUAGGUGUGGGUACGACAGCAUCGACUAGUAAUGAUCGUUGUGAUGGUGUGUUGGGUGUUAGUAGUGUUUCACAGAGGGGUCAUGGCAUCCCAAGGCCUGUUAGCCCUCUGGUGUUUAGCAGGCAUAGUCUGGAUAGUGAAGCCAUAGAGUCGCUGGUACGACAGGGUGGUUAUGUGGAGGACUAUCGGAUUGAGGGCAGACCGCGCUUUAACAGUCUAGUAGCCCACAGACUUUUAAACUUCAGGGAUGUUGUGGCCACAGAUAUGGCAGCAUAUGUGAGUCAUAUACAUGAUACAUUGGCGGGGAUUGUGGAUGUGUCAAGAAUUCUGGGUGGUGAAAAUGGGGUGCUCAACAUAACACUACGGGGUUAUAGUCUCACGAGUGACGUGAAUGUGUUGCUAACCCCUGCAAAUGGCUAUGGUUUAGAACAUCUUAUCAAUGCCAUUGAGAAGGUUUUACAGAGUAAUACGGCCAUCUUGAGUGAUAAUUCUUUAGAGUUAACAGUGGCUAUAGCCCGCUGUAGAAAUGGGGGUGGGAGACCCAGUCGAAAAUUGCGUGAUCUAGCACAUGAUGAAGUCAUUAAACAGAAAAGAAUGCACUUAUUCAACCCUGUUAACAGGUCAAAUAAUUUGUGUUUUGCCAUGUGUUUAGCAAAUUAUCUAAACCCCCAUAGUACGUCAAACAGAUUAGAGGCUAUUGCAACAGACAUGCAGAUGCGUGCAGGCUUCACCCCACAGCAGAAGAUUGGUUUUAGUGAUAUUGCCAAAUUCGAGGCCCUGUACAGUGUUAAAGUGGUGGUCUUCUACCGCGGAGCUGAUGCCAAAUUACUACAUUAUCAGACAGACGAGAAACCCAAUGAUAUCAUAGCUCAUUUAUACCUACACAACGAGCAUUAUCAUGGCAUUCUGAAUCUGCAGGGUUUCAUGGGUGUAUCGCAGGUCUGUAAGUUUUGCUACAUUGGUUACAGAGACAGCAUGUACCACCGGUGUAAAUACAUAUGUGAUGUGUGUCACGAUGUUGAUUGUCAUAGGAUGGGUGGGGGGUUCAGACAUUGUGGUGAUUGCAACCGAUAUUGCAAGUCUGCUUACUGUUUUCAGAAGCACAAACAACAAGUCCCCAGGGGUCGUACCGGUGUUUUAGCAGCCCCUUGUGAUAUCACUAAAUAUUGCAAGACCUGUCACAGACGAUACAUGCUGUCUGUGGAGCAACCUAAACCACAUAGGUGUGCCCAAGCGGUGUGUCACCAUUGCAGGUUGAGGUUGACCCCCGGUGAUAACCACACGUGUUACAUACAACCUGUCAAACACCAAACGGUCGACAACAGAUAUAUAUUCUAUGAUCUUGAGACACGGCAUGAAGAUGGUAAGCACAGGCCUAAUUUUGCGUGCGCCAUAACCUGCGGUGGUUAUGAGUUUACAGCUGAGGGGUAUGGUUGUAUAGGCAAGCUUUUAAACCAUUUUAGAUGUUCCAAGUACAUUGGACAUACAUGGGUGGCCCACAAUGCCGGAGGGUUUGAUAAUAUAUUGCUUCUGGAGCACUUCACUAGCAUUGGGGUCACCCCGCAUGUGAUAAUGGGAGGGUGUAGGGUCACAUACAUGUAUGAGGAGCGCUUCAAACACCGGUUUAUAGAUAGUUAUUCCUUCAUACCUAUGCGGCUGGCUAACACCCCCGCGGCAUUUAACCUAACCACCAGCGAUAAGGGCUAUUUUCCACAUCUCUUCAACAUCAGAGCCAACAAUAAUUAUGUGGGUGCCUAUCCUGAUAAGAAGUUCUAUGGUUAUGGGAAUAUGUCAGACAAGGAUAGAGUGAGUUUUGAUGCGUGGUACAGUGGCAUCCAUGAUGGUGUGUUUGAUUUUCAAAAGGAGUUGUAUGCGUAUGGCAGAAAUGAUGUGGUUCUGCUACGUGAAGCAUGUCUUAAAUACCGCCAUGAAUUCAUGGAGUCUACGGCCAUAGACCCCUUUAAUCAAGUUACACUACCAUCGUGCUGUAUGGCUGUGUAUAAGACUCACUUCCUCCCCAGAGACACACUGGCGUUGACGCAUAACAAUGCUUACAUUUAUCAGCAUAAAGCCUUCUCCAAUGUGUCAAUUGAAUGGCUUGAAUUUGUGAAAAGUCACCGAGGGGUCCAGGUUAGCCAUGCCUUAAGCGAGGGAGAGGUCAUGUUUGGGAAAUAUCACCUAGAUGGGUACUAUGAGGAGGGUGGUGUGAGAUUUGCGCUGGAAUUUAACGGCUGCAUGCACCACGGUCAUGACUGUCGUUACAAGCCUCACCAUAUCCAUCCCCUGUCAAAAGUACCAUACAGCCUCCUAAGAAAGCAGUUUGAUGACAAAGUACAAACAUUGUCUAAGGCCUACGGGUUAAGGUUGAAAUCAUGUGGGAGUGUGAGUGGAAGCUGUCCAAACAACAUGAUGGUGAUGUUAUUGCGUUUAUGACCACAUACACACACCCCGAGCGGUUGAAGCCCAGAGAGAGUCUUUUUGGGGGUAGGACAAAUGCUUACAAAUUGUACCACAAAGCCCAA